rnacentral:rRNA from 1 species
CAUAUAAUUAUUAAUAUCCUAUAUUAAAAGCUAGUCUUUUAAUUAAAGUAGUUAAUUGAAUUAAAAAAGUAAAGAGAAUUUUUAGUUGAGUGAAUUGAUUGGUUAAAUUUGUGCCAGCAGCUGCGGUUAGACUAUGGAUUAUGCGAUAAAGUUUGGAUUUUGAUUUAAAUACACGAUAAAGUGAUAAUUUUGGUGAAAUAAAGUUAGGUUUAGUUUAUAAGUGAUAAUAAAGCAAAGACAUUUUGGUAAAAACUAGGAUUAGAUACCCUUUUAUUAGAAGUAAUUAAAUUCUAGUAAUUAUUUAUAAAGUAAGAGAACAUGACGGCUUUAUUAUUCUAGGGGAACUUGUUAGUGUAAUCGAUAAACCUCGUUUUUUCUUUUUUGUAUUGGUUUUGUAUACCGUCAUUUAGGUAAUUUGAUGAGAAUUAAUUAUCUUGAUUUUAUAAGAAGAUUAGAUCUAGGUGCAGAUAUAUAUAAAUACUAGUUAGUUACAAUAUGUAGUAAUUUACGAUAAGUUAAGGUUAUAGGAGGACUUAGAAGUAAAACAGAAGUAUAGAAAGGUAGUAUGAAGUGUACAAAUUGCCCGUCAUUCUCUUUGAGACAAGUCGAAACAAAGUAGAACUUACGGAAGUAGGGUCU